rnacentral:rRNA from 1 species
UAUGUGAUCGUCUCUCGCAUAUCAAUAAGCGGAGGAAAAGAAACUAACAAGGAUUCCCCUAGUAACGGCGAGUGAAGCGGGAAGAGCUCAAAUUUGAAAUCUUAAAGGGUUUCCCUUUACGAAUUGUAGUUUAAAGAAGUGUUUUCUGUUGAGGUUUUGGUAAAAGUUCUUUGGAGUAGGACAUCAUAGAGGGUGAGAAUCCCGUAUUUGACCUUUACUUUCAACUUUGUGAUACACUUUCAAAGAGUCGGAUUGUUUGGGAAUGCAGUCCAAAAUGGGUGGUAAAUUUCAUCUAAAGCUAAAUAUUGGCGAGAGACCGAUAGCGAACAAGUACCGUGAGGGAAAGAUGAAAAGAACUUUGAAAAGAGAGUUAAACAGUACGUGAAAUUGUCAAAAGGGAAGCGUUUGACACCAGUGUUGUUUUUCUGAAAAUCAAUUAAAGAACUGUUUAUGCUAAGUUGUUUAGACUUUAUCAGCUAACUGUUUAGUUUUGAGCUUUUCUUUAAUGCACUUUUCAGUUAACAAGUCAACAUCAAUUUCUUUUGCUGUAAAAAAGCUUGAGGAAGGUGGCUUGAGAUUCGUCUUAAGUGUUUAUAGCCUCUUGCCUAUGCAGUCGGAGAGAUUGAGGUCUGCAGCGUAGAUCCUCCGGGGCUAAAUGCAUUUGUGCUAAGUUAUAGCAUUUUAUAGACAACUUGUUGACUAUGAUUUGUCUUGUAGCUUACUCGCUUAUGUUAUUUUACCUACGCUUAGGAUGUUGAAGACUCUACAGAGAUA